rfam:Actinobaculum suis strain T311 R9-3-1_contig_26, whole genome shotgun sequence.
GGCGGUGGUUUUAGCGGUGGGGUUACGCCCGGUUUCCAUUUCGAACCCGGUAGCUAAGGUCGCCUGCGCUGAUGGUACUGCGCUCGGGAGGGCGUGGGAGAGUAGGUCGCUGCCGCCA